AUAUAAUAUAAAGUUAGGCAUAGAUAAGGUGAUGUGUCACCUCUGUAAGGCCUAGAAUGCUAUUUAUCUUUUUUCUCCUUUUUUAAAAUUUUUCCUCAUUUUAAAAUUAAUUAAAAAGCAAAAAAAUCAAUCUCUUAAUUCUAUUAAUUACACCUCUUAAUUCUCUUAAUUACACCUUUUGCAAAAUCAGUAACGAUGCAGUGUGUGAUAACCGGAAGUAAUGGCUUUCAAUGGGGGAAGGAAGAGGAACGUGUGCAUUAAAAAAAUAGGGUUUUCAUUAGUUGUCAAUAUAACCGUCGUAAGCAUACUUUUCAUUUGUUGAAUGGUUGCAACUUGCAACUGUUAAAUUGUUUACAUUAAAGGAAAACUAAUAGUUUGUUCAUAUGUAAUUACUACUCCUCUAUUCAUUCAUAUUCUUUAAUGUAAAAAUAUAAUGGUCUUUAUUUCCAUUACUCCCACAACUUUUUAUUAUCAUAAGCCCUAAAUAAUUUAUAGCCAUGUUCAUGACACCAUUUGGUAUUCCAUAUUGUAGUCUUAUAAAUAGAGACAUUGUAAAACUUUGUUGCAAAAAGAAAUGAUCACAUUAGUUAAGAACAUCACUCUUUUUGAAUAUAAUGAUAUGAUAGUAGUACAAGAACAACCGAUUAUAGUAGUACUGAGGAAGAGGGGGGAUUUGACAAGUCAAAUUAUGAAGCUCACGAGGAAGGCGGAAGUAAUGAGGAAGAGAAGGAUGAUGGCCAAAGGACGUUGUUAAUGGUGGGGAAGCUGUGUAAUAUCUUAGAUAUAUUUAUAUAUGAUUUCUUUCUUUUCCCCCAUGAUACUUGCUCCUUUUUUGUUUAUUUUUUGGCUAGCUUUAAAACUCAAAUGGCUUUUGCACUUCUUGUUUUGAUGUUAUUGUUGCUUAAUGAUAAUCCACUCUUCAGGCAAAAAGAAAAAAAAAUGUAGAAAUGUUGCUCUAAUUUUCCUCCCCCUCUUUUUAUGCAUGAAAGUAGAAAUGCUGCAAUAUAUUUGCACAUAAACUUAUGCAAAAUUAUAAUCUUAUCUCAAAA